rnacentral:lncRNA from 1 species
GGGCGCUAGGUUUUAAAAUACCCCUUCGGGCGUACUUACUCAAGUAACAAAGGCCCCAAAACAAAACUAGCCACGGUAAUUUUUAUUUUUUUUUCUUUCUUUUUCUCUUUCUUUUUUUUUGUUUUGUUUUGUUUUUUUUAGCGAAGCUUAUAUAUCCCAAAUUUUCCCGCCAAACUUAAGUUUUUAUCUAAAUUUAGCCAUCUCCGCCUAUUCAUGUCUUUCAUUCCUUCAAACUAGUAUUAUCCUUAAAAAAUCCAUUAUGUAUCAAUUUAAACUUAAUCAGUUAACAUAGCUGUUAUUAACGUGCUAACCUUGAUUAUACCAGUUUCAAACAGGAAAAGAUUCAAUUNNN